AUUGAACGCUGGCGGCAGGCCUAACACAUGCAAGUCGAGCGGGGUUUUCGGACCUAGCGGCGGACGGGUGAGUAAUGCGUAGGAAGCUGCCCGAUAGAGGGGGAUACCAGUUGGAAACGACUGUUAAUACCGCAUAAUGUCUACGGACCAAAGUGUGGGACCUUAGGGCCACAUGCUAUCGGAUGCGCCUACGUGGGAUUAGCUAGUUGGUGAGGUAAUGGCUCACCAAGGCGACGAUCUCUAGCUGGUUUGGGAGGAUGAUCAGCAACACUGGAAGUGAGACACGGUCCAGAGUCCUACGGGAGGCAGGAGUGGGGAAUAUUGGACAAUGGGCGCAAGACUGAUCCAGCAAUGCCGCGUGGGUGAAGAAGGCCUUCGGGUUGUAAAGCUCUUUCAGCGAGGAGGAAGGGGUGUGUGUUAAUAGUACACACCUUUGACGUUACUCGCAGAAGAAGCACCGGCGAACUCUGUGCCAGCCGCCGCAGUAACAC
rnacentral:rRNA from 1 species